rnacentral:misc_RNA from 1 species
CGGCCUUCCUCUCUCGCUCUAUCUUCUUGCGUGCACAUCGUGGCCGGCGUUGCGGUGCUGCAUCUCCCCUGCACACCCUCCCGCUGUUGUAAUGCAUGCGUGCACGUGGUGGAGUUCCACUGAUCGUUGUUUCUGCUGCGAAUGCCGCCGCGAUGGAGAUAGGAGGCACGCAUCCCCCCUCACCCUCUGUGAUUUCUUUGCUCGCAUCGACCAGCCCAGAGAAACCAGCAUGCAAGUAGAGGCAGCGUACCUCACCAGGAUGCUGACUUGGGCGGCCCACACCCUCUCUCACCAACUCACAUGUUGAGCCUUCGACCCUCCGCGCGCAGGCUGCAGCUGCACUCCUACCCCACCCCGCCGCGUCUCCCAUACCAGAUAAUCUACCCCUCGUCCAUUUGUGUGAUAGCGCAGACUCUUGCUGACUGCCAUGCAUGUGCGUUGCAGUCGACCGGCUCACACAUCGUUGUGCCGUCGUCGGAGUCACCGUCACGGCCAAGUUAAUUCAACUGUCCGUAUCACGCUGUUCUGCCGGCACCCAAGAGGGGACGACGCUGCCCCAGAUCAGCUCCUCCGUUACUGGACCUGCUAGACCGCCUGCUUCCCCCAACGGCAACGGUGGAGCCGACAUCUCCGGCUGCCCCUUUCAGCGUUUCACGCCCGGAAAUCACCACGGCGGUCAGUAGCACCAGCACCUCCCGCGCUGCGGCAGUCAAGUCGCUGACAUCGGAGGAGGUACGCCGGCAGCACUUGAGCGGCGCUUGAUCGAGUACUGCCUUCUCUCCUCACGGAGCCCCUCACAAGAAUUACUAAGGCCCGCACCACCAUCAUCACCACUGCCGGCACUACCGCGUGCUUCUGCCGUUAACCCCCACCUCGAACGUAGGACCGGUAGCUCCGCCGGCGCUGCCGACGCCCCGACGCCACCUGGGCGGCCUACACACUCCAGGCACGCGGCUUCGCUUGUAUCGGCACUAGCCGCAUGGGGAGGAACUGAUCUUCGGCACUAAAAGUCACGGACUGCAGGCCUCGGCUGUCAUGGUGCCUCACGUGGCCCAUCGCUACCAACCGGUGCCGUUUUCACAUGGCCCUUCUUAUCUGGCCGCCACCGCCAUUCAUGACGCGUCCUCGGUGAGGGAGACGGCGGUGGUGAACAGAGUACAAACCUUCCGAAGGCUGAAGCGCGCCUCUGCCCGUGAUGCGCAACACCGUGCUGCACCCUCCUCAUCGUCGAUGCCGGUGUUUUUGCAGUUACUGGGAGGGGAGUGGUUGCGAGGCGGCGGGGGCGCUAGACGCUGCUGGCUACUUCUCUACUCAUCUUGUCCUCCUGGAGCGGUCUGAGGCGUAGGUGGGCUGACGAAGAGAAGGGCGAAGGGCCUAUGUGCGUGAUCGUGUGCAUCUCCACACCGAUCUAGGUGCACAGGGCCACGUACCUCUAGCCCACUCCCUCCUUGCUCAAGGUGCAUACAGUACGUAUAUGACCGCAUACAUGCACACGCACAAGUGUACCCGCUGCGCUUCUUAGCCUCUUCUCUCCACUGCACGACUCCUCGUGCUGACGCAUCAUAGCUCUCUCUGUCUCUCUAUGCCUCGACGGCUUGCCAGUGCCUCGUGUUGCUGCCUGCGGCCCCCCUCCCUCAGUUUCUCUUCUGCGCGUAUUUUUUUCACGUAUGCGUGCGCUCCUUAACCCUUUUGGGCUUGUUGGAGUCACGCAUGGAUCUGUAAGGGCUCGGGUACGCGGAGAAGGGGUGGGAUGGGGGAGGAGGGGGCAGGGGCCGUCGCUACCCGUCACUCCUACCUCUCCACCUCUUCCCCUGACUUUGCACGCACACGCGCCUGAUGCGAUCUUCUCCGCAUCAUUUCUCACCUCCGCUCGCCUCUCCCGAGUCCUUUUUUUUUGUUCUGCCUUUCGCACGUCUGCUGAUGUCCGCCUCUCCCAUCCCUCCCCCUCAACACUUUACGUGCUUACUCAAGCCGGUGUGUGCACGUGUACGGGGAUUUUUCUUUUAGCGUUGCGCGGCCCCCUCUCUGCACUCAGCCGCCCCCCUUUCCCCGGGCUGCGCUGCCGCCGCGAUACCCGCUCGUGGAAUCUUCUUCGACUCGAUGGCAGCCCUCUUGUUUUUGUCUCUUCUGAAGGUUCAAGAGGGGUGAUGGCGGUCGCUGAGCGCUCUGUGACGCACACACACUCCUGCUGAUUCAUUCACUUCUUUGCUGCGCUGUCUGCUGUCUUUCCUCUUAGCCUGAGCGGUGACUGUUGUAGACGUCAUGCCGGCUGUCCGGCGGGAGCACGCACAACAAUGGACGUCCACCUGACACGCACACGACACGCAACGAGAACGAUGGCUUUACUGUGCUGUUACUGCCCUCUCUCUCUCACCCGGCCUCGAGGCUGCAGGGCCCGCUGUGUUUUUCCCGGCUGCCCUUAUCCCUGCUGUUGACCCGCUCCACCACACCCCCGCCUGGCUCGCGCUUGGGGCGGGCCUCGCGGCACUUUGUGUUUACUUGGCUACAAGAGGAAUCAUGUAUACUCUCGUGAAGGCGCGCAUGGGAUAGCGAAUGUUGGCGGCUACCUCUCGCUCUCUCGCCCCUUCCUACGCCAGCGGAGGAGUGUGCACCGGCCCCUGCGGGUGGAGGCACACGCAUCUUUUUUUGUUCUGUGUACGCAUUCUUCGAGACACAGCGGUGCGCCGAGGUCAGGGGAGAGGGGCGAUCGAUUCUCUUUCUCGUCCAGCGCAAUCGCGGUGCUUGCUCUGCCUGUUAGUGCCACUUCUGACUUGCGUUCGCUUUGGGAAUGCGCCCCAGUGACGUCAUGGUCCUCUUCUCUCUCGUUGUUUCCACUCGCCAUGCCUUUCGAGUAAGUCAUGCCCCCCCCCCCCCCCUCUUCUGACGCCUCCACCCGGUGAGUCAGGAAGCUGGAAGGACGAGCGGCUCCGCACUCCCGUCCGUGCACACAGGCACAGGCAUAUACACGUACCGAUGCGCUUGUAUGGAGAGACGCGCUCUGCUCCCGCUGGCAUGGCCCUCUCUGUGUAAGCGGCACGACCGCACACAUGGCAGAGGUCGGGCCGACUGGGACGCGUGUGCCGACUCGGCCUAUGGCCUCGGGCGUACCUCGCUCUCCCGCCUCUUCUAUCUGCACGCCUGUCGCGCUGGCGAAGGAGAGGACGCACGCAUCUCGAGGCCUGUCUGACCCUUUUUUUUUUCUUGUGUCCCGACCUGACCCCCUCCCCCCCACCUCUCCACUGCCAUCACCGCUGUCGCUUCUGCAUCAUCGCCGCACGGGUGAACCAUCGCUGUAGCGCUGGGCCAUAUUAGCCACCGAGCGUUUUCUCAUCAACAUGGGCAUUAUCGUGUAUGCUGUUGCCCCAU